rnacentral:rRNA from 1 species
UAGGGAAUCUUCCACAAUGGACGCAAGUCUGAUGGAGCAACGCCGCGUGAGUGAAGAAGGUUUUCGGACCGUAAAGCUCUGUUGUUGGUGAAGAAGGAUAGAGGUAGUAACUGGCCUUUAUUUGACGGUAAUCAACCAGAAAGUCACGGCUAACUACGUGCCAGCAGCCGCGGNAAUACGUAGGUGGCAAGCGUUGUCCGGAUUUAUUGGGCGUAAAGCGAGCGCAGGCGGAAGAAUAAGUCUGAUGUGAAAGCCCUCGGCUUAACCGAGGAAUUGCAUCGGAAACUGUUUUCUUGAGUGCAGAAGAGGAGAGUAGAACUCCAUGUGUAGCGGUGGAAUGCGUAGAUAUAUGGAAGAAUACCAGUGGCGAAGGCGGCUCUCUGGUCUGCAACUGACGCUGAGGCUCGAAAGCAUGGGUAGCGAACAGGAUUAGAUACCCUGGUAGUCCAUGCCGUAAACGAUGAGUGCUAAGUGUUGGGAGGCUUCCGCCUCUCAGUGCUGCAGCUAACGCAUUAAGCACUCCGCCUGGGGGAGUACGACCGCAAGGUUGAAAC